UACAUGUGGGGCAAGCGUUGUUCGGAAUUACUGGGCAUAAAGGGUGCGUAGGUGGCUUGUUAAGUCAGGGGUGAAAGUUUUCGGCCCAACCGGAAAAUGGCCUUUGAUACUGGCGAGCUCGAGUGCGUGAGGGGUAACCGGAACGAGCAGUGUAGCGGUGAAAUGCGUAGAUAUUGCUCGGAAGGCCAACGGCGAAGGCAGGUUACUGGUGCGCAACUGACACUGAGGCACGAAAGCGUGGGGAGCGAACAGG
rnacentral:rRNA from 1 species